GAUUUGAGAGAAAAAUUGAUAUCAAGGUUUUUAACUACCUUAGGAUUUGGUUUAGGAUAUAAGAUUUGGUUAGGGUUUGGUUAGGAUUUGAUUAAGGUUUAGGAUUUGGUUUAAGAUUUGAAAUUUAAUUUGGAUUUGAUUUAAGAUUUAAGAUUUAAUUAAGAUUUAAUUUAAGAUUUAGGAUUUGAUUAGGAUUUAAUUUAGGAUUUAGAACUUCAUUAGGAUUUGAUUUAAAAUCUAAGAUUUGUCUAGGAUUUGGUUAGGAUUUGGAAUUUAUCUAUGAUUUCAUUAGGAUUUGGUUUAGAAUUUAGGAUUUGAUUAAGAUUUGAUUUAAAAUUUAGGAUUUAAUUUAAGAUUUAGGGUUUGAUUAGGAUUUGUUUUAAGAUUUUAUUAGGAUUAAGUUUAGAGUUUAAGAUUUAUCUAAGAUUUGGUUUAGAAUUUAAGAUUUAGUUAGGAUUUGGCCUAAGAUUUGAUUGAAGACUAUUAGAAUUUAAAUUAAGAUUAAAUUAGGAUUUUAUUGAGAUUU
rnacentral:lncRNA from 1 species